rnacentral:lncRNA from 1 species
GUGGGCAUUUUGUUUGUAGUUAAAAAUCAAAAUGUAAAAUCCAAAGUUGUCUCUUCUGACUAAUCAUCCUGUAAAAUCUCUUCCCCUUUCAGAGGUUAGGAUUUGGUGAACACGUUAGUCUGUGGGGCUUUUUGACUGAGUGAAAGCAGGGAACUCCCCAGGGAGAGAAGGACGUAGUGUGGGAGGAUUGGAUGUUGUGUAAGUCACCCUGGUCAGUAGAGACUGUGUCGGGGAAGAGAACGUGUGGAGCCAGCGCCACUAAGGUUCAGGGACCGUUUUAAGAGCCACAAACUCUCAAGAUCUCGACCUGGAGAAGCAUACACGUUUUUGAUGUUUUUCUGGAAUGCCAGAGUAAGGCAAAGAGGUGGCUGUGUGGUCCUACCACAUGUCUGCUCUGCCCUGAGAGGGUGAGGGUCACGUGAUGGGCAUAAACUGGCCAGAGCGAGUCGGGCGAAGCUGGUGAGUAUGCCAGCCGGGCGUGGGCGUGGGCGGCCGCAGUCUCACCACCCUCGUGCCUGUGGCCUUGGGAACUGGUCUGCGGCGCCUCCAAGAGUGGUGCCCUUGUUUUGGAAAUACCCGCCACUGAGCUCGCAAUACCUGAGAGGUGUGAGCAAUCAGGGAGAGCAGGACGUUUUCAUUGAUUGAAUUUUUAACUAGAUACUGAAGUUCGCUCAGCCCGAUACAAGAUACCUCUCAAAGACAGCAGGCUCCAUCAUUUGUAGGGGUGAGGACCCGGCUUUAACUUCUUUCCUUCUGCUAGUUUGCAUGUCUUCCCUCUCUAGCCUUUUACACUGCUGGCACCAGCAGUAAUAAAUACUGAUAAAAUCAAAAUUGAUUUUUACCUGUGGACAGUUUGUGCCCAGAGAGAGGCUUCAACCUGCAUAACACAGAAAGGGGAAAAAUGAAGAACCUCCAGUGAUCCGUGAAAACCUAACCGCUUUCAAACAAAUCCCAGGAACAGAAUUGCUAUCAGAAGAUAUCGCCGGACUCGCAGGCUGUGUUGAGUCCGAUAUAACUGAAGGCAGAGAGAGCUCAGAGCUAAAUAGCCUUUUAAAUUAAUUUGAAAACAAGCUGUGUGUUUGUGUGUGCGUGUGUGCAUGUGUGUAGCAUAUGUACCAUAUGUAAGUAGCUUAACAUUUUUCAAAUGGUGCCUAUAUUUUUUGCACACACAAAUCUUUAUAUUUGCAAACUCAGAAUCCAUGCCAAAAUACAAUGCCAUUUGUCAUUUUCAGUUCCUUCUCUAAAGAACUGGCCCAUUUACAAGUUUCUGGUUAUGGUUUGUUUGUGAAAUUCUUCGUUUAAAAGAAAAAAAUAAGGAGAGAGGUGGGAGUUGGGCUUCAAAGUCACCUUUAACACUUGAAUAACGGUUCACCUCCGAGACUGUCUCAGGUGCAGAGGCUGCUGCUUCCCCCUGCUGGUGGUGGCAGUUCACUGACGGGCGUCUUGCUAGGGGCACGCGGUCUGGAGCGGCCUCCCUGCCCCUUCCUGUUGAGCCUGUCUGGCUGGAGAAGGAGGAGAGCUAAGUGAAACUGUGGAAUCAGUUAGAAGUUACCACUCUGAGGAGUACUACUGCCAUUAAGCUUGGGCCCUGUGUGCUCUUGCUGAAUGUGAAUGCUUUCAAAGAUCAGCAGAAAUGGAGUUGUAUCCAGAAAGUCCCCUGCAGAGUAGAAAGGUGGCUCCAGGUCCCUGCCCCCAGAUCUGAUAAGGGCCAGAGGACUGGGACGUGCCCCGCGUGGAGGGGGCUGCCUCUGGGUCUCCCCGGCCUGAGGCCUGAUCGGAUGUGGAGAAGGCAUUUUUUUAAGCCUUCCUCAGACAGAGCUGCUAUGAUGGCAAUCCUGUGAUCCUUUAGGGAAAGUUGCUGUCAUGACGUCCUCCUCACCCUGUGUAGAGCCUUUCCUGUACAUUCGCUCGCUGCACUUAACCCUUGCAGCGACAGUGGCCGGGACAUGAGAAGAUGAAUCCUCUGGGAGGUUAACUUGGGCAACGUUUUAGAGCCUCUCGUUUGGAGCAGAAUCAGUCUCCAAGAAGCAUGUUUUGAGGGCCCAAGUGGCUAACUAAGACACUGCUUCAGCUGCGAGAGUGGCUGGAAGGAGCAGUGUGCAGGGGUCCGGUGCAUCACCUGGCCUCAGCUCCUCUGACCUCUUGUGCGGCCUUCGUGCCGUAUGCAGUUAGUUUAAAGAUGAAGUGGAAUCAGGACUCUCAGAUGCUUUUUAUUUUUUCCUUUUGAAACGACACACACCUCAGACAGUAAAAAAAUGUGCGUUCUCCAUUUUCUCAUCGCCUGAAGAUCUCUGCCUGAUGCUCCUGGGGAAUGAAUUUGGGGGCUUUAGAAAGAAAAUUACCAGUCUAACUCAGCGAGGUGACGAGAAUGCUUUCUGUGGAGGCUUUACAUAACUUGUAAAUUAAAUGUGAAGUGAGGGCAGUUCAUUAAAAUUGGUAUCACAGGAGUGGCCUGCUGAGGUUUAAAAACAGCUGAGCUGCUGGUCUCAGGCCUCUACCCGAAUUAGCGUUACACUUCUCCAGGAAAUCAUCGAAGGGAGCGAGCAGUAGCAGACUCUGAUAAGGAGCAUCAGUUGAGAGGUGAACUUGGGAGGCUGAGAAAGGAGAUCUCCGGCGAGACUCACAAACCCGUUUACUCUGGUGUCUGCAUCCCCUCAGCCGCACACUGGGGACACGAGGCUCAGCCUCCUGGAACAUUAGUUGGGGCACAUGAGGCCACCCACCCCUGUGCCGAGGAACCCAGACGCCCUUUGGAGUGUUUUUAGCUAUACCUAUGCCACUGAAAAAAAAGGUCUGGUUCUUUUUAUGAACUGGCUGCCUGCAUUCCCAUCUUUCUUUUGUAUUUUAGAAGUAAACUAAAUUCAACUCUUACCCUCUAGUGCAGCAUUCAUUUGAAAAUAUUUUUUUCCAUUGACUCUUUUACUUGGAUUCAAAGGUCAGAAUUUAUUGUCUGUAAUACUGAGACCAUGUGUACAAGAACUGGUUCUUGCUUUUCAUCGUUCACUCAUUUGGCAAACGUUUAUCCAUUUACCUUCUAUAUGUUAGAUAUUGUAUGAGAUGCUGAGAAAUUAAUCAAGGGGAGUGGUUUGUUUUGGUAUUUUUCAUUCAUAAGCAGCCUCAGUAAGGUGAUUCAAGCUUAUACAUAGAAAAAUGUAAAAUACAUUUGGUUCUCAUUUCUGUUGCUAGUGUUUCCUUUUUUAAGACAAUUUAUAAACUGCUGCCACUUAGAACUUCUCUGGGAAACUCAAAAUGAUCUAUUUAAAUGCUUCCUUCACCCCCUCUCUCCUUUUUGAGUAUUAGUUUAAAUAAUGCAUGUCGUUCUACCUUUCUUUAUAUCUUUCUCCUUGUCCCCAAAAAAGAUCUCUGUGGUUUGUGAUGUUUUUUUCUGGCUUCAAUGUAUGUUAACAUUUUGGGAAUUGAGUAUUUUAAGAGAUGUCUUAGAAUGCUUUAGUUUUCAUAAUUCUUCUAUGUAUUUUAAGUUGUAUUUCCUGUUUUGACGUGGAGUUCUUUUAAAAAGUUGGCACUGGAAAGGACUCUUUACCACCGUACACUUUGGUGAUCUGGCAUGUAAUGAAUUCAUGGUUUUGUGGGUGGCUGUACGUCUCCCGGUGGGGAGGAGCUGUAUUCCUGCUGCGUCCAGGUUGAAAGAGCCAUUCCCAGCAUGUUCUCACAUGUCCCGUGUCAGCCUGAGGAAGCCCGCCCUGCCCAGGCACAGACUUUUGUACUAGCUGUCUCCGUAUUCUGUUCAAUAAAUUCUGUGCUCUGAAUAUAUUUAAA